AGAUGACAGACGUGGGUCUGAAAGUCAGGGAAAUAGCCGACCUAGUAGUCCUACUUGGUGAGAAGUGAGAGAAUAUGCAUUAUCCACCGCUGAAUGUCAAAGCAUGGUGUAAGAGUCUCUGACUUGAAUAAUUCCACUGACAUCGCAACGUUGGAUGCUGGGUGAUUACAGGGAUCCCAGGAUCUCAUCCAAAUUCUGGGUUCAGAAUGAUGCAAGGACAUCUCCGGUUCCGACGUACAAAGGUUCAGAGACUUCGUGUGCAAGAAUCCAUGCCACGUCUGGAUCCACCGGGAAUUGUCCGCACACUACAACUACAAACUGUUCGCCGUAGAAGAUAUUCUGUGCCAGCCCCCAACAGUCAAAGGCAUAGCUAUGGCAACCAUAAAUUCAUAAAUUAAAGCUCUAUAUUGGGGGACUCGGAAGGAAGUACAAAAAUAAAUUAAGACCAUAUUUUUUCACCCAUUUUGGAAAGAUCAACCCAUAUACAGUAUAAUGUAGACCAUUUUAAAUUAAGUUUAAAUAUUUCAUGCUUUUAUUAUUUAUUACGCGCUAGGAAUCUAAUUCAUUUAGAUUUGGAGUACUUUCGCUGCCAGCCUCUCCCAGUCAAAAUGGAUUGGGUGUCUAGCGCUGUCAAUGGCAGCCAAUGAGUUAAAUGUUGAUGUUUAUGGCUUGCAAAAAUAGGAAACCCUAAAAUUUAAUGUCUCAGAAUUAAGAAAAAAAAAUUCUGGGCCCUGCAACACAUUGUCUGUUAUUGCAGAAAUGUUGGUAUAGUUUUAGUUGCCACUUCUGGGAGAUGAUUGGAGGAAAUUUUACCCAUCAAAAUCAAAUGAUGAGGUUUGGCACGCCCUCUUUGCUUGUUGGCUCUUUGAAAAUGGCUUAACAAGUUCAACUUCAAAAAGGGAUUAUGUAAAGUGCACAUUUCUAAUCAAAAACAUACCAUUAAAAAAAAAACAAUAAAAGCAUGAAAUAUCCCUGACCAAAAAAGUUAAAUAAAAUUAUAUAAAUACGAACACUUUCACAGUCUAGGGCUAGGCACAUACAGAUGAGGCUAAUCAAUAACUAAAUUUGCCAUAUACGAUGUGUGCAUGUUUAGUUAUAUUUUAGGACUAGUUGGUUCAACUUUAAAUUACAUAUUUGGGAGUUUUAUGUGAUGGUCCACAUGGUCAUCACCCCGAUGUACCGACAUGGGGGUGAUGACCAUGGGGGUCAGUCCCUGAAGUGCAGCUGCAACAGGCCUCGACUCCUGAAGAAAUUCAGCAGAUGUCAGAAUUUUCUAAUGUAUUGAAUGUCUACAGCGAGACUAUCCAUCCUGCGUCAAAUAUUUGGACUUGUUUUAAAUGACAGCAUAGAAUGUUGGCUGUGGUUGAUGUGACAGUACCUCAGUAAUGUGAAGAAAUAAUAAAGGCAAUGAUUGUUUUUCUGCAAAGUAAUAGUUUAUCGAUGACCAGUGUAAUACAAUACAAAUUAUAAACAGGCAAUUGAUGUACAAAAAAGGACUUCCAGCACAACUAACUCGUUCAUCCAAAAAAAUUGUCCACUGGACACCAACAUGAGCCACUUAAGGUCAGUAACUUUUUCCCCUAAUACUGGCCAACUGCUCACCAUCAGCAUUCCCUGAAAUGUAAAUUUAUUGUGUCUUCGGGGAGCUUUAGGGUACAAAAAAAGCACGUAGAUAAGUGAG